rnacentral:sRNA from 2 species
GCAAUGGAAGUCUUUCGCAACCCCCCCGAACCUUCUUCAUUCAUUCCGCUUGCCGAGCACCAAUCGCAUACUCCGGCAUCGUUCUAUUCAGGACCCCCCAUCCUGCACCAUCUGAGCGAACGUUGUAAAAUAGUGAUUUUGGAAGAAGAAUUAAACAAAUCCACUGCAUUAAAUGGGUUGCGACCGAAUGCCUCCGUAGCUGAAGCUGUGAAUGGCACCUCAGCUAGCGAAGCUUCAACCUCCGCUACCGCUACAUCUACCGACGGUGCGGAUGGGAACAAAGAGAUUGUGAUAGAUGGGGUCGAUGUUUGGGUAACAUCUGAACGUCUCCUUCUCUACUCCCAGCGUGCGAAAACCGGUGUCGCAAUCCCGUACCCAUCAAUCUCCCUGCAUGCGAUUCAACGCCUCCAAAUCCCUAACUCCACUUCACCCGCAACUUCCUCCGUUGCAGAUGAAAAUACAGUGCAGGGUUUAUAUAUGCAACUUUCAGCCGACAGCCAGGACAGCCAGGAGGACGAGGAUAUGGAAGAAGAUAGCACGUGUCUAACAAUAGUGCCUCCGCCUCCCCAACUCCAACCCCCACCACAACCGCAACAACAAGACGAACUCCUCACUACGGAAGAAGAAGAAAAUAAACACAGCCAAACGCCUGCGCAAGAUCUGUUUGCCGCCGUCUCAGCAUGUUCGAACCUGCAUCCUGAUCCAGCAUCGCAACAUGGAAGCGACGAAGAAGGCGACGCGGAUAUGCAGAAUCACCCCACCGAACAGCUGGAUGGUAGUAUCUUGUAUCAGAGAGGGCUGAUCACCCCUGGCAAUAGCACAGGCGGCUUACCGCCUGCGAUGCCGGGGAGUGGAGGUUGGAUUACGGCAGAAAAUAUGCAUGAGUACUUUGAUGAGGAGGGGAAUUGGAAAGGUGGUGAGGAUAUUGGG